UACGUAGGGGUGCGAGCGUUGUCCGGAAUUACUGGGGCGUAAAAGAGCUCGUAGGUGGUUUUGUCGCGUCGUCUGUGAAAUUCCGGGGGCUUAACUUCGGGCGUGCAGGCGAUACGGGCAUAACUUGAGUGCUGUAGGGGGAGACUGGAAUUCCUGGUGUAGCGGUGGAAUGCGCAGAUAUCAGGAGGAACACCGAUGGCGAAGGCAGGUCUCUGGGCAGUAACUGACGCUGAGGAGCGAAAAGCAUGGGGGAGCGAAACAGGAUUAGAUACCCCCGGUAGUCC
rnacentral:rRNA from 1 species